AGAGUUUGAUCCUGGCUCAGGACGAGCGCUGGCGGCGUGCUUAACACAUGCAAGUCGAACGGAAAGGCCCUUCGGGGUACUCGAGUGGCGAACGGGUGAGUAACACGUGGGUGAUCUGCCCUGCACUUUGGGAUAAGCCUGGGAAACUGGGUCUAAUACCGAAUAGGACCACGCGCUUCAUGGUGUGUGGUGGAAAGCUUUUGCGGUGUGGGAUGGGCCCGCGGCCUAUCAGCUUGUUGGUGGGGUAAUGGCCUACCAAGGCGACGACGGGUAGCCGGCCUGAGAGGGUGACCGGCCACACUGGGACUGAGAUACGGCCCAGACUCCUACGGGAGGCAGCAGUGGGGAAUAUUGCACAAUGGGCGCAAGCCUGAUGCAGCGACGCCGCGUGAGGGAUGACGGCCUUCGGGUUGUAAACCUCUUUCACCAGGGACGAAGCGUAAGUGACGGUACCUGGAGAAGAAGCACCGGCCAACUACGUGCCAGCAGCCGCGGUAAUACGUAGGGUGCGAGCGUUGUCCGGAAUUACUGGGCGUAAAGAGCUCGUAGGUGGUUUGUCGCGUUGUUCGUGAAAACUCACAGCUUAACUGUGGGCGUGCGGGCGAUACGGGCAGACUAGAGUACUGCAGGGGAGACUGGAAUUCCUGGUGUAGCGGUGGAAUGCGCAGAUAUCAGGAGGAACACCGGUGGCGAAGGCGGGUCUCUGGGCAGUAACUGACGCUGAGGAGCGAAAGCGUGGGGAGCGAACAGGAUUAGAUACCCUGGUAGUCC
rnacentral:rRNA from 1 species